UACGAAGGGGGCUAGCGUUGUUCGGAAUUACUGGGCGUAAAGCGCGCGCAGGCGGUCUUCCAAGUCAGUGGUGAAAGCCCGGAGCUCAACUCCGGAACUGCCAUUGAAACUGUGAGACUGGAGUACGAGAGAGGUGAGUGGAAUUCCCAGUGUAGAGGUGAAAUUCGUAGAUAUUGGGAAGAACACCAGUGGCGAAGGCGGCUCACUGGCUCGUAACUGACGCUCAGGCGCGACAGCGUGGGGAUCAAACAGG
rnacentral:rRNA from 1 species